rnacentral:rRNA from 1 species
UACGAAGGGGCUAGCGUUGCUCGGAAUCACUGGGCGUAAAGCGCACGUAGGCGGACUCUUAAGUCGGUGGUGAAAUCCUGGAGCUCAACUCCAGAACUGCCUUCGAUACUGGGAGUCUCGAGUCCGAGAGAGGUGAGUGGAACUGCGAGUGUAGAGGUGAAAUUCGUAGAUAUUCGCAAGAACACCAGUGGCGAAGGCGGCUCACUGGCUCGGUACUGACGCUGAGGUGCGAAAGCGUGGGGAGCAAACAGG